AGAGUUUGAUCCUGGCUCAGGACGAACGCUGGCGGCGCGCCUAACACAUGCAGGUCGAACGAGCGAGAGAGAGCUUGCUUUCUUGAGCGAGUGGCGAACGGGUGAGUAACGCGUGAGGAACCUGCCUCAAAGAGGGGGACAACAGUUGGAAACGACUGCUAAUACCGCAUAAGCCCACGGCUCGGCAUCGAGCAGAGGGAAAAGGAGCAAUCCGCUUUGAGAUGGCCUCGCGUCCGAUUAGCUAGUUGGUGAGGUAACGGCCCACCAAGGCGACGAUCGGUAGCCGGACUGAGAGGUUGAACGGCCACAUUGGGACUGAGACACGGCCCAGACUCCUACGGGAGGCAGCAGUGGGGAAUAUUGCACAAUGGGGGAAACCCUGAUGCAGCGACGCCGCGUGGAGGAAGAAGGUCUUCGGAUUGUAAACUCCUGUUGUUGAGGAAGAUAAUGACGGUACUCAACAAGGAAGUGACGGCUAACUACGUGCCAGCAGCCGCGGUAAAACGUAGGUCACAAGCGUUGUCCGGAAUUACUGGGUGUAAAGGGAGCGCAGGCGGGAAGACAAGUUGGAAGUGAAAUCCAUGGGCUCAACCCAUGAACUGCUUUCAAAACUGUUUUUCUUGAGUAGUGCAGAGGUAGGCGGAAUUCCCGGUGUAGCGGUGGAAUGCGUAGAUAUCGGGAGGAACACCAGUGGCGAAGGCGGCCUACUGGGCACCAACUGACGCUGAGGCUCGAAAGUGUGGGUAGCAAACAGGAUUAGAUACCCUGGUAGUCCACACUGUAAACGAUGAUUACUAGGUGUUGGAGGAUUGACCCCUUCAGUGCCGCAGUUAACACAAUAAGUAAUCCACCUGGGGAGUACGACCGCAAGGUUGAAACUCAAAGGAAUUGACGGGGGCCCGCACAAGCAGUGGAGUAUGUGGUUUAAUUCGACGCAACGCGAAGAACCUUACCAAGUCUUGACAUCCCUUGACGAUGCUGGAAACAGUAUUUCUCUUCGGAGCAAGGAGACAGGUGGUGCAUGGUUGUCGUCAGCUCGUGUCGUGAGAUGUUGGGUUAAGUCCCGCAACGAGCGCAACCCUUAUGGUCAGUUACUACGCAAAAGGACUCUGGCCAGACUGCCGUUGACAAAACGGAGGAAGGUGGGGAUGACGUCAAAUCAUCAUGCCCUUUAUGACCUGGGCUACACACGUACUACAAUGGCGUUAAACAAAGAGAAGCAAGACCGCGAGGUGGAGCAAAACUCAGAAACAACGUCCCAGUACGGACUGCAGGCUGCAACUCGCCUGCAC
rnacentral:rRNA from 1 species